rnacentral:misc_RNA from 1 species
UGCCUUUUGGCUUAGAUCAAGUGUAGUAUCUGUUCUUUUCAGUUUAAUCUCUGAAA